rnacentral:rRNA from 1 species
CAAUAGCGUAUAUUAAAGUUGUUGCAGUUAAAAAGCUCGUAGUUGGAUUUCUGGUAGGAGUGACCGUUCCGAACUUGAUUGUUCGUGUAUUGUGUUUUCUCCAGCCAUCCUUGUGGAGAACUUUUCUUGCAUUAAUUUGUAGGGAUUGGGACCCGCAUCGUUUACUGUGAGAAAAUUAGAGUGUUUAAAGCAGGCAAUCGCUUGAAUACAUUAGCAUGGAAUAAUAAGAUAGGACUUUGGUACUAUUUUGUUGGUUUGCAUACCAAAUUAAUGAUCAACAGGAACAGUUUGAGGAUAUUCGUAUGAACAUGUCAGAGGUGAAAUUCUUGGAUUUUGAUCAGACGAACUACUGCGAAAGCAUUUAUCAAGGAUGUUUUCAUUAA